CCGGGAGUCGGAGUAGGAGCAGUGGUGACCAGCUGCAGGCAUCCUCGCUGUGUCCUCCUGGGGAGGAGGAGGAGCCAUCGGUUUCCAACUUCCUGGGGGUCACUUGGAGUUCGGUGAAAGCUGGGAAGAAACCUGGGAAGAAGGAGCUCUUCACCUGAAAAAUGUUCACUUGGUCUUGGUUGUGAAUUCUUUUGUUGAGAAAGAGAAUUACCAUUUGUCACUAUUUUAAUGAAAGGAGAGGUGGACCUGACUCAUGAUUUAGAACCAAAGAAUGCAGAGCCUGAAAAGAAUGAAAGUUGGGAGUGGGUUCCUUGGAAAGAAUUUCCUCCUCUGGACCAGCUUUUCUCGGCACUACGUUGUUUAAAGGAACAAGGCUAUGAUCCUUUUAAAUAUUUGGAUCAUCUGGUAAGAUAUAAAGGAAGUCACCUAGAG
rnacentral:lncRNA from 1 species